AUUGAACGCUGGCGGCAUGCCUUACACAUGCAAGUCGAGCGGCAGCAUGAUCUAGCUUGCUAGAUUGAUGGCGAGUGGCGAACGGGUGAGUAAUACAUCGGAACGUGCCCUGUAGUGGGGGAUAACUAGUCGAAAGAUUAGCUAAUACCGCAUACGACCUGAGGGUGAAAGUGGGGGACCGCAAGGCCUCAUGCUAUAGGAGCGGCCGAUGUCUGAUUAGCUAGUUGGUGAGGUAAAGGCUCACCAAGGCGACGAUCAGUAGCUGGUCUGAGAGGACGAUCAGCCACACUGGGACUGAGACACGGCCCAGACUCCUACGGGAGGCAGCAGUGGGGAAUUUUGGACAAUGGGCGAAAGCCUGAUCCAGCAAUGCCGCGUGUGUGAAGAAGGCCUUCGGGUUGUAAAGCACUUUUGUCCGGAAAGAAAUGGCUCUGGUUAAUACCUGGGGUCGAUGACGGUACCGGAAGAAUAAGGACCGGCUAACUACGU
rnacentral:rRNA from 1 species